rnacentral:sRNA from 1 species
GUCUUAAGGUUUGCUUAAUCUCUGACGGGCAUACUCUCCUUCAUAAUCUGGAGGAGAGUAUGAUGAAAAAGCGUCUUUAUGAACGUGUCGCCACUGUCUUUAGCGUGUUGAUUGUCACCAGUUUUUUGUACGUCUGGGUCACCACUUAUUAGA